GGAAGUGUAGCUCAGGGGUAGAGUGCUUUCCUAGCAUGCAUGAAGCCCUGGGUUCAAUUCCUGAGUACUACUA
rnacentral:tRNA from 1 species